rnacentral:lncRNA from 1 species
AACCUUACUAUUCCCGAUUAUUCCGGAACAGGAAGGAAUUUUUUAUUCUACCAUUUUGGUGAAAUAGUAUAAUGCUUAAUUUCAAACUUAAUUAAAAUUAUAAAUUAAUUUAAAACUAAAUUAUAUAAAUAUAAUAUAUUAUAUAUUUUAAUACAUUAUUUUUAUUAUAAAAUUAUUAAUUAUACUAUAUUAGUACAUAUUAUUUAUAUUUAAAUAUUAUAAUAAAUUUUAUAAUAAAUUACAUUUAAAUAUUAUAAUCAAUUUUUAGGAAUAACUUAAUUUUUAUCCAAACGCAAAAUUGAUCUAAUCCCCUCUUAUACAUUAAUUUAUACAUAUCCCUGUAAUAACUAUUUUUUAAUUAUUCCCGAACCAAGCGAUUAG